GUCCCUGUAGAGCAAUGGAUAGCGCGUUGGACUUUUAAUUCAAGGGGUUCAAUUCCUACCAGGGAUG